rnacentral:tRNA from 1 species
AAGAUUUUAAGUUAAAAAAAAACUGUAUACCUUCAAAGUAUAAAAUAAAUAAUAAAAAUUUAAAUCUUA